CAGACCAGAGAGGUUGUUGACUUGGAAAAGACCGCAACUUGUCUCUCUCCUCGUGGCGGCAAGACGAUAAAGUCGAGGUCCUAGAAGUAUUCAAGAAACACGAAGAGGUUCGUCUGCAGAAGAAGCUUCCAUACCAGUAAACCGCUGCCUAAGGAUUGCAACCAUAUCUGAAGGACCAGGUGAUGACGCACCCUCAACCUGGCAGGCAGGACUGCCUGCUCUUCUGACUGGAGCCUAGAGCAAGAUGAAAGGGACAUCAGCCCUGCUGCUCUGGAAGGGAGCGUGGAGGCCUCUGAGAUCACUGUGAACCUCCAGGACUGACGGCGCGGCAGUUCCCACACAGACACACGCGCGCACACACACACACACGCGCACACACACACACACACACACACACACGCACA